rnacentral:misc_RNA from 1 species
GAUGAAGAACGCAGCGAAAUGCGAUAACUAAUGUGAAUUGCAGAAUUCCGUGAAUCAUCGAGUCUUUGAACGCACAUUGCGCCCCCUGGUAUUCCGGGGGGCAUGCCUGUCCGAGCGUCAUUGCUGCCCAUCAAGCACGGCUUGUGUGUUGGGUCCUCGUCCCCCCCGGGGGACGUGCCCGAAAGGCAGCGGCGGCACCGCGUCCGGUCCUCGAGCGUAUGGGGCUUUGUCACCCGCUCUGCAGGCCCGGCCGGCGCUGGCCGACGCGAAAGCAACCAUUUUUUCUCCAGGUUGACCUCGGAUCAGGUAGGGAUACCCGCUGAACUUAAGCAUACAAUAAGCGGAGGA